rnacentral:lncRNA from 1 species
CGCUCCCCGACGCUCCCCCCGUCUCUGGCUCAUUAACGACGGGUGGCAUGGCCGGUGGCCAGGCGGUCUUCCCUUUGGCCGACAGCCAUGGCAUGUGGCUUCUAGCGUUGAGGAGAGAAACCUUUGUUCGUGCGGAGCUGGCCUAGGACGGGUUGAGGGAGGCACAGGUCCCAGAACUGUCAGGCCCUGUAAGCGCCUUAAAAUUUCCAUGGAUCGGGUCAAGCUGUUCUUUAAUCAACCAGCAAGUGUAGGACACACGUAUGUCUUAGCCUCUUCCAAAGAAAGAUAGAUGAAGACUUUUUCUAAGCCGGACUGUGCUGUGAGAGGGGAAAAUUCUGGGAAACCAAAGUUGGGUUGAGGCAUCUCCAGUCCAAACAGCUGGGGAGCCAUUGGUUUGGGCGUCUGUCGGGGACUGCGUGACCUCACUGUGUGACCGUGCAGCAGGGGGACCAAGGGUCACCAUUCCCUUGUCCGCAGGGAAGAUACCCGCUGUGCAUCUUGGAAUUUAGAAGGUAAAGAAAGCAAUAUUGAGAUGCAAUACUAGACCUUGGGAAAUUUAUUGUGGUCGAAGGAAUUUAUUUUAAGCCUCUGAAUUCAUCAGCGCUGUCCUUUGCUUUCUGAGCAGCGUGUCCCGACUUGGAGACAGAGGACAUCUCACUGCAGCUCGGGCCACCACCACAAAGCCCAGACGAAAGCCAGGUGUGAGGUCAUUGGCUGGCGGCUGCCAGAGGUGGAUUUAUAGCCCCCGAGGGGGCCCCUUGAUGCAGAUCUGUCACCCGUCAGCAUUGCCGUCCUCCUGGGU